UGGGGAAUAUUGGACAAUGGGCGAAAGCCUGAUCCAGCAAUGCCGCGUGAGUGAUGAAGGCCUUAGGGUUGUAAAGCUCUUUUACCAGGGAUGAUAAUGACAGUACCUGGAGAAUAAGCUCCGGCUAACUCCGUGCCAGCAGCCGCGGUAAUACGGAGGGAGCUAGCGUUGUUCGGAAUUACUGGGCGUAAAGCGUACGUAGGCGGUGACUCAAGUCAGAGGUGAAAGCCUGGAGCUCAACUCCAGAACUGCCUUUGAAACUAGGUCGCUAGAAUCACGGAGAGGUGAGUGGAAUUCCGAGUGUAGAGGUGAAAUUCGUAGAUAUUCGGAAGAACACCAGUGGCGAAGGCGGCUCACUGGUCCGGUACUGACGCUGAGGUGCGAAAGCGUGGGGAGCAAACAGGAUUAGAUACCCCCGUAGUCCCUGAGCGGGCUGGCAAGGCGCAU
rnacentral:rRNA from 1 species